CCCAUUUGUGGUGGGUGCACCACCUUAGCCACCACCUUAGGUGGGAUGCCCUUGGUCAGCCUUUUGUGCCUACCUGUGGGGUAGCUACACUAAGUGGAGAUGCAUUUGAGCUGUUUAAUUUUGUUUGACUCCAGCAAUCCUAACAUCUGUCAUUGAACCUAGGGUUUCGUAAAACACAUAAAAAGUCAUAUUUGAGUCUAAUAGAGGAGUCUAUGCUUCGGCUUCAUAAGGAGAAAUCCAAUAGCACCCCCCAGCUAAAUUUUUCAGCAGAUUCAUGGUGUGUAGUAGCAGUUCAGUUCUUUGGUGUUAUAUGGCAAGCAAGUGUUCUCGUGUUUAGUUUAGUUGCUUUAAAACUUUAAAAAAACCAUUUUUUUUUUUCUUUGGAUGUUCAAGUUUGAGAAGUCCAAGAUUUGAUACAAGACAAGAAUGGGGAGUUUUUCCAAUUUAGUUGCAUUAGAACUUUCAAAAUCGUUCUUUUUUUUUUUUUUUUAAUGUUCAAGUUUGACAAGAAGACCACAAGAUAAGAAUGAAGAGUUUCCAAUGCUUAAAUCAGGUUCUUAAAUUAAGAUGUAAGUACUUGAGAAGAGUUUUUGAAUGAAUCUUAAUGGAAAAAUCUUCUGCCUAAAAAUUCAACCAACCAAGAGAUCCGAGUCAAUAAAACAAGAUACAAAUAAUAUAUGUGUGACCUUUUCAACCAAAUAGACCAUAUAUAUGUGGGACCUUUUCAACCAACCCAAGUGUUGCCACAUAGCUAAAGUUAUAGGUUUUAUUGGUGUCUAUUUCAUUAUGUCACUUAGAAAAUCACAACACCUCACAUCAUUAUGACAUGUCCUCUUUGUUAUCUUUCCACCUCUACUCUAGGUCCAACGCAGCCUCUACUCUAGAGCCAGCGCAGCCUCUACUCUAGUUCCAGCACAGCGUCUACUCUAGUUCCAACGCAGCCUCCCUUCUAGUUCCAGCGCAACCUCCCUUAUGGAUCAACACCAGGCUUAAUAGAUUAUCACUGUAGCUCAACACUUGGUACUUAGGGUACAUAAUCAAUGCAAUGUUAAAAAGCA
rnacentral:lncRNA from 1 species